CGUACCAAGUAGAAACACCCGUUUCUCACCUGUAGCGACGCAUCAAGCAGUUGGCAGGUUAAUCAUGUCACACAUUAUAUGUGUAUGAGAGAAGAGCGGGCAUUCUAUGCUCGCUCUUUUUGCUUGGA
rfam:Staphylococcus haemolyticus JCSC1435 DNA, complete genome.